CACUAUCGUUAACUGAAUACAUAGGUUAACGAGGCGAACCGGGGGAACUGAAACAUCUAAGUACCCCGAGGAAAAGAAAUCAACCGAGAUUCCCCCAGUAGCGGCGAGCGAACGGGGAGCAGCCCAGAGUCUGAAUCAGCUUGUGUGUUAGUGGAACGGUCUGGAAAGUCCGACGGUACAGGGUGAUAGUCCCGUACACCAAAAUGCACAGGCUGUGAACUCGAAGAGUAGGGCGGGACACGUGGUAUCCUGUCUGAAUAUGGGGGGACCAUCCUCCAAGGCUAAAUACUCCUGACUGACCGAUAGUGAACCAGUACCGUGAGGGAAAGGCGAAAAGAACCCCGGCGAGGGGAGUGAAAAAGAACCUGAAACCGUGUACGUACAAGCAGUGGGAGCACCUUCGGGUGUGACUGCGUACCUUUUGUAUAAUGGGUCAGCGACUUAUAUUCUGUAGCAAGGUUAACCGUAUAGGGGAGCCGCAGGGAAACCGAGUCUUAACUGGGCGUUAAGUUGCAGGGUAUAGACCCGAAACCCGGUGAUCUAGCCAUGGGCAGGUUGAAGGUUGGGUAACACUAACUGGAGGACCGAACCGACUAAUGUUGAAAAAUUAGCGGAUGACUUGUGGCUGGGGGUGAAAGGCCAAUCAAACCGGGAGAUAGCUGGUUCUCCCCGAAAGCUAUUUAGGUAGCGCCUCGUGAACUCAUCUUCGGGGGUAGAGCACUGUUUCGGCUAGGGGGUCAUCCCGACUUACCAACCCGAUGCAAACUACGAAUACCGAAGAAUGUUAUCACGGGAGACACACGGCGGGUGCUAACGUCCGUCGUGAAGAGGGAAACAACCCAGACCGCCAGCUAAGGUCCCAAAGUCAUGGUUAAGUGGGAAACGAUGUGGGAAGGCACAGACAGCCAGGAUGUUGGCUUAGAAGCAGCCAUCAUUUAAAGAAAGCGUAAUAGCUCACUGGUCGAGUCGGCCUGCGCGGAAGAUGUAACGGGGCUAAACCAUGCACCGAAGCUGCGGCAGCGACACUAUGUGUUGUUGGGUAGGGGAGCGUUCUGUAAGCCUGCGAAGGUGNNNNNNNNNNNNNNNNNNNNNNNNNNNNNNNNNNNNNNNNNNNNNNNNNNUGCUGGAGGUAUCAGAAGUGCGAAUGCUGACAUAAGUAACGAUAAAGCGGGUGAAAAGCCCGCUCGCCGGAAGACCAAGGGUUCCUGUCCAACGUUAAUCGGGGCAGGGUGAGUCGACCCCUAAGGCGAGGCCGAAAGGCGUAGUCGAUGGGAAACAGGUUAAUAUUCCUGUACUUGGUGUUACUGCGAAGGGGGGACGGAGAAGGCUAUGUUAGCCGGGCGACGGUUGUCCCGGUUUAAGCAUGUAGGCUGGUUGUCCAGGCAAAUCCGGAUAAUCAAGGCUGAGGUGUGAUGACGAGGCACUACGGUGCUGAAGUAACAAAUGCCCUGCUUCCAGGAAAAGCCUCUAAGCAUCAGGUAACAUUAAAUCGUACCCCAAACCGACACAGGUGGUCAGGUAGAGAAUACCAAGGCGCUUGAGAGAACUCGGGUGAAGGAACUAGGCAAAAUGGUGCCGUAACUUCGGGAGAAGGCACGCUGGUGUGUAGGUGAAGUCCCUGCGGAUGGAGCUGAGACCAGUCGAAGAUACCAGCUGGCUGCAACUGUUUAUUAAAAACACAGCACUGUGCAAACACGAAAGUGGACGUAUACGGUGUGACGCCUGCCCGGUGCCGGAAGGUUAAUUGAUGGGGUUAUCCGUAAGGAGAAGCUCUUGAUCGAAGCCCCGGUAAACGGCGGCCGUAACUAUAACGGUCCUAAGGUAGCGAAAUUCCUUGUCGGGUAAGUUCCGACCUGCACGAAUGGCGUAAUGAUGGCCAGGCUGUCUCCACCCGAGACUCAGUGAAAUUGAACUCGCUGUGAAGAUGCAGUGUACCCGCGGCAAGACGGAAAGACCCCGUGAACCUUUACUAUAGCUUGACACUGAACAUUGAGCCUUGAUGUGUAGGAUAGGUGGGAGGCUUUGAAGCGUGGACGCCAGUCUGCGUGGAGCCAACCUUGAAAUACCACCCUUUAAUGUUUGAUGUUCUAACGUUGGCCCCUGACCGGGGUUGCGGACAGUGUCUGGUGGGUAGUUUGACUGGGGCGGUCUCCUCCCAAAGCGUAACGGAGGAGCACGAAGGUUAGCUAAUCCUGGUCGGACAUCAGGAGGUUAGUGCAAUGGCAUAAGCUAGCUUGACUGCGAGCGUGACGGCGCGAGCAGGUGCGAAAGCAGGUCAUAGUGAUCCGGUGGUUCUGAAUGGAAGGGCCAUCGCUCAACGGAUAAAAGGUACUCCGGGGAUAACAGGCUGAUACCGCCCAAGAGUUCAUAUCGACGGCGGUGUUUGGCACCUCGAUGUCGGCUCAUCACAUCCUGGGGCUGAAGUAGGUCCCAAGGGUAUGGCUGUUCGCCAUUUAAAGUGGUACGCGAGCUGGGUUUAGAACGUCGUGAGACAGUUCGGUCCCUAUCUGCCGUGGGCGCUGGAGAAUUGAGGGGGGCUGCUCCUAGUACGAGAGGACCGGAGUGGACGCAUCACUGGUGUUCGGGUUGUCAUGCCAAUGGCACUGCCCGGUAGCUAAAUGCGGAAGAGAUAAGUGCUGAAAGCAUCUAAGCACGAAACUUGCCCCGAGAUGAGUUCUCCCUGAGACUUUAAGUCUCCUGAAGGAACGUUGAAGACGACGACGUUGAUAGGCCGGGUGUGUAAGCGCAGCGAUGCGUUGAGCUAACCGGUACUAAUGAACCGUGAGGCUUAACCUU
rnacentral:rRNA from 1 species